rnacentral:lncRNA from 1 species
AAUUGGAAUAUUGAGUGAUUGAAUUAUAUGAGAAGUUAUUGAAAGAUUGAUUAUGGAUGGAAGAUUAUGAUUGUUGUUUAUUGAGAGUUGUGUGUGUAUGUUUCGACAGAGGAAGUCUGUGAUUACAAGAAUUCUGUGAAUUCAGAUUGGUUGGAGUGAAGUUUGUUAUUCUUAGUGUUGGAUGGAAUUUAUUGAGUUUUGAGCGAUCUUUUGAGAGUGCAGGGUUGCACACUAUGGUUAUUAGUUGAUGAAGGAGUAUUGUUACUGGGAGGAAGCAUUGUAGUGUUUCUUAGUAUUUUAGUGGUUCGGAAUACAGUUAAUUGUAUGAUCCUCACAAGUAAAACUCAUACGCUUAGUCUUUCCCUAUGUUCGAAUUUUCUUAUACAGGUUUAUUUUGGAAGGAAUUAUAGAAUAAGUAAAACGAUAAUCACAUCUCUUAUUUGGAUUUAAUCUUCUUUAGAUUUUUUGUGCUUGUUUUCAAUUAAAUAAAUUGAGAAGUAUACAUAUUUUGAAUAGAAAUCAAUGAUUAAAUUAUUAAUUAUUAAAAUUUUAAUUUUCUAUAAGAUUUGAUUUAAUUUUGUUUAGGAUUUAGAAUUUAGAAUUUAUUUAGGAUUUUAUUAGAGUUUUAUUAGGAUUUAAUACAGAAUUUAGGAUUUUAUUAGAAUUUGAAUAGAAUUUAUUUAGAAUUUAGAAUUCG